UGACUGCUUCACGCGCCCGGGCCAUCAC
rnacentral:sRNA from 1 species